rnacentral:lncRNA from 1 species
UUAUACUGGUGGGCGACCUAGAACUUAAAUGUAUUCCCGCAUUAUACUGGUGGGUGACCUAGAACUUAAAAGUAUUCCCACAUUAUACUGGUGGGCGACCUAGAACUUAAAUGUAUUCCCGCAUUAUACUGGUGGGCGACCUAGAACUUAAAAGUAUUCCCGCAUUAUACUGGUGGGCGACCUAGAACUUAAAUGUAUUUCCGCAUUAUACUGGUGGGCGACCUAUAACUGAAAUGUAUUCCCGCAUUAUACUGGUGGGCGACCUAGAACUUAAAAGUAUUCCCGCAUUAUACUAGUGGGCGACCUAGAACUUAAAAGUAUUCGAAAUUGUUUCCCCGUUCUUCCG